AACAAACGCUGGCGGCGUGCCUAAUACAUGCAAGUCGAACGGGGAAAGCUUUCGGGUGAGUACUAGUGGCGCACGGGUGAGGAACGCGUGGAUAAUCUGCCUUAGAGUGGGGGAUAACUAGUCGAAAGAUUAGCUAAUACCGCAUAAGACCACAGGAGCUGCGGCUCAAGGGGUCAACGGUUUUUCGCUCUAAGCUGAGUCCGCGUAAGAUUAGCUAGUUGGUGAGGUAACGGCUCACCAAGGCGACGAUCUUUAACUGGUCUGAGAGGAUGAUCAGUCACACUGGCACUGAGACACGGUCAAGACUACUACAGGAGGCAGCAGUAGGGAAUAUUGCACAAUGGAGGAAACUCUGAUGCAGCGACGCCGCGUGAGUGAUGAAGGCCUUCGGGUCGUAAAGCUCUGUCGCAGGGGAAUAACACAAUGAAGGUACCCUGUAAGAAAGGAUCGGCUAACUUCGUGCCAGCAGCCGCCGUAAGAC
rnacentral:rRNA from 1 species